rnacentral:rRNA from 1 species
CAGCCGUAAACUAUGCUCGCUAGGUGUCAGGCAUGGCGCGACCGUGUCUGGUGCCGCAGGGAAGCCGUGAAGCGAGCCACCUGGGAAGUACGGCCGCAAGGCUGAAACUUAAGGAUUGGCGGGGGAGCACCACAACGGGUGGAGCCUGCGGUUUAAUUGGACUCAACGCCGGGAAGCUCACCGGAUAAGACAGCGGAAUGAUUGCCGGGCUGAAGACUCUGCAUGACUAGCUGAGAGGAGGUGCAUGGCGUAGACGUCU